GUGAACGCUGGCGGUAGGCCUAACACAUGCAAGUCGAACGGCAGCACAGUAAGAGCUUGCUCUUACGGGUGGCGAGUGGCGGACGGGUGAGGAAUACAUCGGAAUCUACUUUUUCGUGGGGGAUAACGUAGGGAAACUUACGCUAAUACCGCAUACGACCUACGGGUGAAAGCAGGGGAUCUUCGGACCUUGCGCGAUUGAAUGAGCCGAUGUCGGAUUAGCUAGUUGGCGGGGUAAAGGCCCACCAAGGCGACGAUCCGUAGCUGGUCUGAGAGGAUGAUCAGCCACACCGGAACUGAGACACGGUCCAGACUCCUACGGGAGGCAGCAGUGGGGAAUAUUGGACAAUGGGCGCAAGCCUGAUCCAGCCAUACCGCGUGGGUGAAGAAGGCCUUCGGGUUGUAAAGCCCUUUUGUUGGGAAAGAAAAGCAGCAGGUUAAUACCCCGCUGUUCUGACGGUACCCAAAGAAUAAGCACCGGCUAACUUCGUG
rnacentral:rRNA from 1 species